UGUAGUGCUGGGUGGGCUGGAGCCCGUCGCAGGGCGCAUAUACUCAAACAGGCAUUCACACUCACUUCGGCACACAUGAACAAUUUCGACUCUUAAAUUAUCCUUUUUUUUGUGUGCCAUGAAUAGGCUCAGUGUUAAUCCCUUUUCUUUAGAUUAAUUUAAAACACGUUGCGUAGAUUAGCCUCAGAGCUUCUGUUGUGAAAAUGUAAUUUGAAGGGAAAUAAUAUCACCUUCACGUUGACGGCUGGCCUCAAAUAAAGCGAGGAUAAACGUCGACAGUUGAUUCUGUCAUCAUUUUGGACUGAUGGCGUACCGACCGAGCAGCUGUGUCCUGUCUGCUCACUCAUGCACGCUCACACACACACACACAGACACACACAACAAAUCUAACCAAAAUAUUGACUUGCAUCUUAAUCACUGAUUUUCCAUACACAUAGCUUAACUCCCUAGGAAUGCAAAUCCUUGGGGGGAUUAUUUUUACAUUUCCUGUUGUUUUAAGGGUCAUCCCACACUUUGACCGACACAUACUCACAGGCAUGAUUUGAUUCUCUCUACUCUUUGGAAACGUCAACUAUUACAGGAGCUUAGUUAGGAUCUUCUCUGCCUCUUCUUCUUCUUGCUCUUAAUUACGCUGCAUCUUUUCCAGAAGCGUUAAAAAUCAGCAAUCCAGCGACCAAUGGACUGCGAUGCAAUUCGGGGGCUCGCUGUACACAUUUUGCCGUGAUUGAUCGGUCUUCUCUGGCGCCCGAUUCUGCGCUCCGAUGCCGUCCGGCUCGUUGAAGUCGGCCCGGUUGGCUCGAAACCAGCUGGGAUAAUGCGGCACCGGAAAAGAAAUGAAAUCGAGGUCAUUAUUCCUGAAAGUCCAGAAUAAGGUUCAUGGUGAAUCUGAAAGACUGCGAGUUGAUCUCCAAGCAGUGAGUGGAAGCCCAGUGCAGUUCUUGGCAAAGCGUCAUUGUGGCCGACCGACGACUGGCGUCAAGCCGCCCUUGACCCUUCUGGCCGCCUGCAAAUGGAUGGCAGGGCGAAACCAAACGUGUUUGGAUCUUUCAGUACGGCCCGCAGGGACAGCGGGAAUUCUCCAUUACGGAUGUUCAGGUACUUUUCUUGAGAAUGUAUUUUUCUGUCAACGUUUGACUUUGACUCCCUCCUAAAAACAUAUCUGUACUUUCUACUGCUUGGUUUUUCAACGAGAUGUUAAAAAGACAAAUAAAGGGAAGUGAAGUCAUCUUAUUAUCCGAUAAAAGGAUCUUGUGGUCCAAGGUGUGUUGAGAAUGAAUUGUCUGAAACAGAUCGAGGCGACGGCGUCAAAUAUUAAACAUGUCCACUAUUUACGACGACUCGUGAGUCCUAACAAGUUAGUCCUGACUCCCGACUUCGUGCAUCGAGACGUGAAACGGAAAGUAGCCAAUCAAGACGCGACCUGACUGAGGAGCAAAGGAGCAGCCAAAACAACAACAAACUAGCACAAAACAGCAGCUGUUAGCAUCAUUUGGGCGUUCACCUCUAUCUUGCUCGAUGGAUUAUAAAGUCCAGGUUUUUUUCCACAGUUUUUUUUUUUUUUGUAUUAUUUCGAGAUUUUUCGGUAAAAAAAAAUUAAUAAAAAUAAUCCCAAGACUAACAUCAUUCCCUGCUCUCGCGUGUCUUCUUCCAUGUUGUGACUUGUAUGUUUCUUCUUCUUCAUUUUUGUUAGCCCACGUUUGGUCACGGGUGAUUGUCUUGGAAGAUCGGAUUCUCGUUCGGGGGUGGAACAAAAACUUUCUGUGUGCGCGGUGUGCUGCGUUGACAUUAUCGCUCGUCAUGUCAAACCCCAUCCCCCAACCCCCGUUGAAUCCGUCUGGCUGUCAGCUCAACACGAGACGGAACCCGACCCAUUCCGCUCGCCGCUGACCUGUCCGUGACCCAACUCUGCACUCUGCCUUCCCUCCUCGCUCGCUGGGGGGAGAGAGUAGAUCAAACGCUAACACAACUACUGUUACUGUGGCAAAGGGUGUGAUUGUGUCGUGGUGUGUGUGUGCGCGCGCGUGGUGACUUUUUUGACACAAUUGUGGAAGCCAGAGAACGCCGGUGGGCCAAAGGGCGACGGCGUACUUAGCCUGACUUCGACCGCUUUGCGACGGCCACCAUUCAGACUAAAGGCCGGUCCAUUAGGGACGGCGUGUUGGCUCGGGGCGGGGGCAAGUUGUGCACCAGGCGGGCGAAAAGCCAACGA